GCAAUGCCGCGUGCAGGAUGAAGGCCUUCGGGUUGUAAACUGCUUUUGUACGGAACGAAACGGUGAGCUCUAAUACAGUUUGCUAAUGACGGUACCGUAAGAAUAAGCACCGGCUAACUACGUGCCAGCAGCCGCGGUAAUACGUAGGGUGCGAGCGUUAAUCGGAAUUACUGGGCGUAAAGCGUGCGCAGGCGGUUAUAUAAGACAGAUGUGAAAUCCCCGGGCUCAACCUGGGACCUGCAUUUGUGACUGUAUAGCUAGAGUACGGUAGAGGGGGAUGGAAUUCCGCGUGUAGCAGUGAAAUGCGUAGAUAUGCGGAGGAACACCGAUGGCGAAGGCAAUCCCCUGGACCUGUACUGACGCUCAUGCACGAAAGCGUGGGGAGCAAACAGGAUUAAAUACCCUGGUAGUCCACGCCCUAAACGAUGUCAACUGGUUGUUGGGUCUUCACUGACUCACUAACGAAGC
rnacentral:rRNA from 1 species